rnacentral:rRNA from 1 species
CAGCCGCCGCGGUAAUACGUAGGUCCCGAGCGUUGUCCGGAUUUAUUGGGCGUAAAGUGAGCGCAGGCGGUUAGAUAAGUCUGAAGUUAAAGGCUGUGGCUUAACCAUAGUACGCUUUGGAAACUGUUUAACUUGAGUGCAAGAGGGGAGAGUGGAAUUCCAUGUGUAGCGGUGAAGUGCGUAGAUAUAUGGAGGAACACCGGUGGCGAGAGCGGCUCUCUGGCUUGUAACUGACGCUGAGGCUCGAAAGCGUGGGGAGCAAACAGGAUUAGAUACCCCAGUAGUCCCUGUCUCUUAUACC